CGUGUAGGCGGUUUAUUAAGUCAGAUGUGAAAGCCCACGGCUUAACCGUGGAACUGCAUUUGAUACUGAUAGGCUUGAGUAUGAGAAGGGGUAGUGGAAUUCCCAGUGUAGCGGUGAAAUGCGUAGAUAUUGGGAAGAACACCAGUAGCGAAGGCGACUACCUGGCUCAUUACUGACGCUAAUGCGCGAAAGCGCGGGAGCAAACA
rnacentral:rRNA from 1 species